AUUGAACGCUGGCGGCAGGCCUAACACAUGCAAGUCGAACGAGUGGCGGACGGGUGAGUAAUGUCUGGGAAACCGCCUGAUGGAGGGGGAUAACUACUGGAAACGGUAGCUAAUACCGCAUACCAUCGGAUGUGCCCAUAUGGGAUUAGCUAGUAGGUGGGGUAAAGUCUCACCUAGGCGACGAUCCCUCGCUGGUCUGAGAGGAUGACCAACAACACUGUAACGUAGACACGGUCCAGAUGCCUACGCGAGGAAGCAGUGUGGAACAUUGCACAAUGGUGGCAAGCCUGAUGCAGCCAUGCCGCGUGUAUGAAGAAGGCCUUCGGGUUGUAAAGUACUUUCAGCGGGGAGGCGUUACCCGCAGAAGAAGCAACGGCUAACUCCGUGCCAGCAGCCGCGGUAAUUC
rnacentral:rRNA from 1 species